rnacentral:rRNA from 1 species
UACGUAGGGACCGAGCGUUGUCCGGAUUCAUUGGGCGUAAAGAGCUCGUAGGCGGCCACUCAAGUCGGAUGUGAAACCUCGAGGCUUAACCUCGAGCCUGCAUUCGAUACGGGCAGGCUAGAGUUCGGUAGGGGAGAUCGGAAUUCCUGGUGUAGCGGUGAAAUGCGCAGAUAUCAGGAGGAACACCGGUGGCGAAGGCGGAUCUCUGGGCCGAUACUGACGCUGAGGAGCGAAAGCGUGGGGAGCGAACAGG